AGCUUGGUCACAGGAAAACAGAGCUCGUCUCUCGUACCACAGGAGCCUCAGCACUUCGUGGGAAACCUCCUUCUGCAUGCCUCAGCCUCCUGAAAGCUCUGUCUGCAGCUGAGAAAUUGAAGCUCUGCAUCCAUACAGUAGUCCCCAGAACCUACCCAGUAUCUGACCUUCACAGUGACCUGAGGAAUCAGGCAGACAAAUAUUGUAGAAGACAACCUUGCACAAGAUAAGAUGGGUGAAGAUGGAGAGUACUAAGGUAACUGUGGAAGAAAUGUCACGGAAUGAUAUGUUCUGAUUCCUUUUGCAGAGCUGAAGAAGUCAUUUUAAAACCUGUCUUCCUAUUUCAUGUUAAGUUUGUACUCAGAAAAGAUUGAUAUUCGAUCUGGCUCAGUGCUGAUGCUCACUUUUACAAA
rnacentral:lncRNA from 1 species